rnacentral:rRNA from 1 species
ACGCGAGUGGAUGCCAAUCCCCAAACCUCUCUCAGUUCGGACUGGAGUCUGCAACCCGACUCCACGAAGCUGGAUUCGCUAGUAAUCGCGCAUCAGCCACGGCGCGGUGAAUACGUUCCCGGGCCUUGUACACACCGCCCGUCAAGCCAUGGGAGCCGGGGGUACCUGAAGUGCGUAACCGCGAGGAGCGCCCUAGGGUAAAACUGGUGACUGGGGCUAAGUCGUAACAAGGUAAC